CUAAAGGGAAAGAGAGGGAGACCGUCCCGGGGAGAAGCAGCAGCGCAGCCAAACCGUUUCCAAAGGCCGGCUCAGCCCGGCCCUGCAGCUGAGGUGGGAGAUACUGGGGACUCGCGGUGCCAUGCGGUGGGGUCUGGGCUCCCAGCCCCAGGGAACUGAACCAGGCCCGGCCAGCGCCCUGCUGCGCGGAAGCCUGAUAUGCUAACCCAGCCAGCUCUCCGCGAGAACGCCUCACCGGGUCCGCUCAGUUUGUUCCUUGGGUUGGGAAUGCAUCGCUGUGGUUGCCAGAUGUCUACAUACAAUUCCUUCCUGUGCUCUCUCAUCGGGUGCUUCAGGGUGGAUGGAAACAACAGGGGACCGUCUCAAGGAAACACUGCAUCAGGCAUCAGGAUUAGACCGACACAGUCAUUUGAAGACGUCACACACAGACACCCCUGACCCAGAGCAACAGCGGGGACAGAAACCCCCAUUGCAGGGCCGGGAAUGACAGGGGAGAACCAAGAACCAUCUGUCCUCAUGUUCGUAUGUAAAAAGUCACAUAAAAACGUACGGGCUUUUAUUAUGGUCGGACCGAGACUGCACAUUUCUGUACAUUUCUGAAACCAAAUGAAUAAAAUUCGUUUUAAGAGCC